CAUAGCGACUAUCGUGGCAUAUCAAUAAGCGGAGGAAAAGAAACUAACUAGGAUUCCCUCAGUAACGGCGAGUGAAGCGGGAAGAGCUCAAAUUUGAAAUCUUCAAGGUUCUACCUUGACGAAUUGUAGUUUAUAGAAGUGUUUUCUGUUAGUGGAGUGGCAAAAGUUCUUUGGAAUAGGACAUCAUAGAGGGUGAGAAUCCCGUAUUUGGUCAUUCCUCCUAGCGUUGUGAUACACUUUCAACGAGUCGGAUUGUUUGGGAAUGCAGUCCAAAAUGGGUGGUAAAUUUCAUCUAAAGCUAAAUAUUGGCGAGAGACCGAUAGCGAACAAGUACCGUGAGGGAAAGAUGAAAAGAACUUUGAAAAGAGAGUUAAACAGUACGUGAAAUUGUCAAAAGGGAAGCGUUUGACACCAGUGUUGUUUUUCCGAAAAUCAAUUACGAAUGUUUUGUUUUUGAGGAGUUAUGACUUCAUCGGCUUGCUUCUUUCUUUAUGAAACUUUCUUAAUGCACUUUUCGGUUAACAAGUCAACAUCAAUUUCUUUUGUUGUAAAAGGGUAUGAGGAAGGUGGCUUUCUUUUCGGAGAAAGUGUUUAUAGCCUUGUGCCUCUGCAAUCGGAGAGAUUGAGGUCUGCAGCGUAGAUCCUUCGGGGUUAGAUACGUUUGUGCUAAGUUAUAGCUUUUCAUAGACAACUUGUUGACUAUGUUUAGUCUUGUAGCUUACUCGCUGACGCUAUUUUACCUACGCUUAGGAUGUUGACGGAGACUGUCGAUCUC
rnacentral:rRNA from 1 species